ensembl:lncRNA
UCUGGGCUGAACCCAGUGGGUCAACACAGUUUACGGUCUGGGCUGAACCCAGUGGGUCAGUAUACGUCUACGGUCUGGGCUGAACCCAGUGGGUCAACACAGUCUACGGUCUGGGCUGAACCCAGUGGGUCAGCACAGUUUACGGUCUGGGCUGAACCCAGUGGGUCAGUCUACGGUCUGGGCUGAACCCAGUGGGUCAACACAGUCUACGGUCUGGGCUGAACCCAGUGGGUCAGUCUACGGUCUGGGCUGAACCCAGUGGGUCAGUCUACGGUCUGGGCUGAACCCAGUGGGUCAGUCUACGGUCUGGGCUGAACCCAGUGGGUCAGUUUACGGUCUGGGCUGAACCCAGUGGGUCAACACAUCUCUCUUGCAGCGAGUUCUUCCAUCUCUAGGAUGUCAGGUGUACUCCUCUGUGUAUCAACGGUGUUUUAGUCACUGGACUCUAAUAGUUUGGUCUUUGAUGCGUUCGCCCUACCUUAUUUAAUCCCUCCAAAGUGGCUGACAGUUUGACUGUCAUGAAUACUACUUCCCAAUAAUGUAUUUUGAGCAAUAAUCAAGACAAUGUAAUAUUUAAAUUAUUUCCUUGACAAUAUUGACAUGCUGACCACAUAAAUUAAACUUUUAUUUGCACUUACUUUGACAAUGGAGGACUGUAACCUUUUCAUCAGAUAACUUUUUCUAGCCAGACUUGCGUCUACUAAUAUAAUUCCUUUUUUUCAACGGUUUGACAACAUUUCUGAUGUUGUAUCAAAAGUGAUUAGAGUAAUAACUACCUUACUAACUAGAUUGCUAAAGUGAUAAGCGAAAAUAUCUUUCAUGUAAAGUGACUGCACCUCUCUCUUCAUUUUUAGGGGCAGUUCCAAGUUCUUCCGAUGCCAGUUCUCGUUAAUUUGGGGACUUCAGCAUCUUAAACAGUGACAUGCCUUUUUAACGCCAGUGGCUUUUAAAAUGCUCCCUUGAAAGCAAAUUUAUCACGAUAGUGUUCUGCAGUGGCUAUAAGACAGGUCCAAUUGAAAUUCAAGAUUUAUAUUUCUUCUGGGUGUAAAAGCUUUUGGACUUUUUAAAUAUCAAAUCGAAAGGUUUAUACAUUUGUGGAAUUCUCAUUGCACUGUGAAUGAAAACCCACUAACCCUACCCACUAACUCUUAGAGAGGUUCAUGUUAUUACUAUAACAAUAACCUAACUUAACCUUAACUUAAAACAUUGAUCAUUGGGUACCCUUAUCCUUCUAUAAAUGGAUGUCAACUGUGGUCAUUGAGGUGUACUUGUGUACAUCAGCAUUGUAUCAACUUUAGGUGGUACAUGUUGGAAUAAAUAAUACCUAUCGUAUGUAGCUCAGCAGCGUUCCCUGGUGCCUGCGGACUGCGGCGGUGGGCGGAGAUGGCACCGAGCCACGGAGCCGUCUCUCCUUUAAUGGCAUCGCUCCCCGGUCGGGACACAGCCUAAGUUAUUCCUUCUUCACGAGGAAUGUUUUAUCCGGAGCGCUCCUAUAAACUGCCGUCUUGUUAGGUUCUGUUGAGUUGCGCAUUACAAUACGGUGGUCCUGUUGAGGCAUCUGAGAACAGCAGUACUGGGGCGGAAAUGUAUUCCUCCAUCCAGAUAAUUGACCCUUAACAGAAGAGCUGGGAUUUUUAUUUUUUAUUUUUAAUAAUGUGCUCGGCUUGAGAAACGAAGGGGUCUAGGGUUUUGAUUGCCUUAUCCACCUAAAACAACAUGUUCUCCUUACUCUAUUGGAUUCUGGGGAGCGUUAAAUAAUGAUCCAGCAGCUGAGACUGCUGCAUGCAGAACGUCUCCCUGACGGCCCUGCUGGGAUCUGAUGUUACAGAGAGCUCACCAGCUCUCCUGCAUUUGUACAGAUGAUUCGUUUAAAAAAACGAGAAAUCUUUAUCUUCAGGGGCUUGCAUUGUUUUUCAGAGUUUAUUUAUAUAAACCUUUUUGGUUUGCAUUUUCUUUUCUAUUUUUUGUUCCUGUGGUUUGUAACUGUCAGCACUGUAGUGUACAUAAUAUUUUUUGUAAACAGGAAAAACUUAGUAAUGUGAUUUAUACUUUAAAUAUAUGAGCCUAGUUAAUAAAAGGUUCCAAUAUGGCUGCGUGUGUGUGCAUGUGUGUGUGUGUGUGUGGGGGGGGGGGUAUUGUAUAAGACUCUUAACCUCAAUGUCU